UUCAUCAGAAUGCCUAGGAAACACAUUAACCAAAAAUAGUAAACCAUGAUCCAACAAGGACAGCUCCUUGAAAAAGCUGAACACAAGCACAUGUUUCUGGCACCUUAAAACUAGAUUGCUUGCCUUCACACCUUUUCAAGAGCAAAAGGAGUUUGGUUAGAACUUAGAAAUGGGUGACAAUGAAAACCACCUAAAAUGAGCAAUCUGGUUUUAAGGUGCCAUAAACCCACCUCACACCUUUCAC